rnacentral:misc_RNA from 1 species
GAUGAAGAACGUAGUGAAAUGCGUUAAGUAAUGUGAAUUGCAGAAUUCAGUGAAUCAUCGAAUCUUUGAACGCACAUUGCGCCCGCCAGUAUUCUGGCGGGCAUGCCUGUUCGAGCGUCAUUUCAACCAUCAAGCCCCAGGCUUGUGUUGGGGACCUGCGGCUGCCGCAGGCCCUGAAAACCAGUGGCAGGCUCGCUGUCACACCGGGCGUAGUAGAUUUUAUCUCGCUCUGGGCGUGCUGCGGGUUCCGGCCGUUAAAACACCCUUUUAACCCAAGGUUGACCUCGGAUCAGGUAGGAAUACCCGCUGAACUUAAGCAUAUCAAUAAGCGGAGGA